rnacentral:lncRNA from 1 species
ACGCCCCACCGUUGCGGCCGCGCGCUGCUCCGCCGUCCUCCGCCACCGAUGCAGCCGCGCCCUAUUCUGCCUCCAUGGUGGCAUCUGCUUCAAUUGAGAGAGUCAGUAGACCAGAGAGAGAGAGAGAGCGCUAAACUGAGAGAAGGCAGAGGAAAAGAGGGGAUCGGGAGGGAGUUAGAUCGGACAGUUCACGGCGCGCCGCACGGUAAGACGAAGUGGGGCACGUGCCCCACUUAGAAUCUCCGUUUUUUUAUUGAGGGAAAACACAGAUGUCAGUUGAGUUUACAAGUUUGAUGUAUUAUCAGAAACGGAAAUACACCAA